rnacentral:rRNA from 1 species
GUUAGGAAUAUUGGACAAUGGGCGAAAGCCUGAUCCAGCCAUGCCGCGUGAACGAUGAAGGCCUUCGGGUUGUAAAGUUCUUUAGCCGAUGAUUAUAAUGACUGUAGUCGGAAAAUAAGCCCCGGCUAACUUCGUGCCAGCAGCCGCGGUAAUACGAAGGGGGCGAGCGUUAUUCGGAAUCACUGGGCGUAAAGCGUGCGUAGGCGGUUUUGUAAGUUAGGAGUGAAAGCCCAGGGCUCAACCAUGGAAUUGCUCUUAAAACUGCAAGGCUCGAAUCUCGGAGAGGAUAGCGGAAUUUCCAGUGUAGCAGUGAAAUGCGUAGAUAUUGGAAGGAACACCAGUGGCGUAAGCGGCUAUCUGGACGAGUAUUGACGCUGAGGCACGAAAGCGUGGGGAUCAAACAGGAUUAGAAACCCCAGUAGUCC